rnacentral:rRNA from 1 species
CCUUCGGGCGCUGACGAGUGGCGGACGGGUGAGUAANCGCGUAGGAAUCUGCCUUAUAGUGGGGGACAACGUGGGGAAACCCACGCUAAUACCGCAUACGCCCUACGGGGGAAAGGAGGGGGUCUUCGGACCUUUCGCUAUGAGAUGAGCCUGCGUUAGAUUAGCUAGUUGGUAGGGUAAAGGCCUACCAAGGCGACGAUCUAUAGCUGGUCUGAGAGGACGAUCAGCCACACUGGGACUGAGACACGGCCCAGACUCCUACGGGAGGCAGCAGUGGGGAAUAUUGGACAAUGGGCGAAAGCCUGAUCCAGCAAUACCGCGCGUGUGAAGAAGGCCUUAGGGCUGUAAAGCACUUUCAAUUGGGAGGAAAACCUGUCGGUCAAUACCCGGCAGCUUGACAUUACCUUUAGAAGAAGCACCGGCUAACUCCGUGCCAGCAGCCGCGGUAAUACGGAGGGUGCGAGCGUUAAUCGGAAUUACUGGGCGUAAAGCGUGCGUAGGCGGUUCGUUAAGUCAGAUGUGAAAGCCCUGGGCUCAACCUGGGAACUGCAUUUGAAACUGGCGGACUAGAGUUUAGUAGAGGGGAGUGGAAUUUCAGGUGUAGCGGUGAAAUGCGUAGAUAUCUGAAGGAACACCAGUGGCGAAGGCGACUCCCUGGACUAGAACCGACGCUGAGGUACGAAAGCGUGGGUAGCAAACAGGAUUAGAUACCCUGGUAGUCCACGCCGUAAACGAUGUCGACUAGCCGUUGGUCCUAUUUACAGGAUUAGUGGCGCAGCUAACGCAUUAAGUCGACCGCCUGGGGAGUACGGCCGCAAGGUUAAAAACUCAAAUGAAUUGACGGGGGCCCGCACAAGCGGUGGAGGCAUGUGGUUUAAUUCGAUGCACGCGCAAGAACCUUACCUACCCUUGACAUCCAUAGAAUC